rnacentral:rRNA from 1 species
UACAGAGGUCUCAAGCGUUGUUCGGAUUCAUUGGGCGUAAAGGGUGCGUAGGCGGCGCGGUAAGUCGGGUGUGAAAUCUCGGAGCUUAACUCCGAAACUGCAUUCGAUACUGCCGUGCUUGAGGACUGGAGAGGAGACUGGAAUUUACGGUGUAGCGGUGAAAUGCGUAGAUAUCGAGAGGAACACCUGCGGCGAAGGCGGGUCUCUGGGCCGAUACUGACGCUGAGGAGCGAAAGCGUGGGGAGCGAACAGG